AAUAACAUAGUUCUGGGGUAUAGGCAGCCACACCUUAACAGUACACAGUGUAUUAAUGUGUAUCUGCAAAACCCAUCUAACUAUCAACCGUAGUAAUGCUUGCAAUGAAAAACUAGUUUCAUCAAACUUAGUAGGCUUGAUAUUUCUCGUCUGUACUCUGUAAUAUGCAUUCACUACAUGUUGGAACUCGUUAUGAUAUGAUGGAGCAAAGGAAUGGACCCGCCUAUAUGCCACUGGUGCAUGAUACCUCAUACAUCACUCUCUCUCCAAUAACAUGUCUUAUUAUGAAGCUUUAAAUCUGCCCCUGUUUGAUUAACUGAUAAAGGCGCAUUGAUGUCUACAAUAUCCAUGUUCAACUCGAGAUACCAUAAUAUAUCAUGUAAAUUACUUCCCAUAUUAGUUCAGAAGGGUUCUUCAUAUUUGUAUCAUUAGAAAUUGAAAAUGCCUACCGUUGGUGUUGGGAUUAGUUGGACCGAUCAUCACUAUACUCAUUACUUAUUUGGUCGUUCAUACUUGUGUUUUAAUUGCUUGGAUAAUUGGCCAUGUAGUUAAAUAUUGAAUCGUUAAUCCCUUAUAACGCUUUUCGUCAAUUGACAUAACAGGGUCCACUGGCGUUGCACUAAAACGUCUUGAUCGUUUGAUAUAACUGAUUUCUUUCUAUGCGUAAUAUCUUGGAUUUCUUUCUAUGCAUAAUAUAUUGCAUUUCGCACUUUGUUCCCUAAAUUAUUAACUUGCAAUAUAUUGAGCAAGUUGUAUUGUUUAAAUACAAUAACAUGCAACUCAAAUUCACAGAAAAGCUUUAAAGGUGAUAAGCAUUUCAGUUAGUGUGUGGUUACAUAAACGGGUCGUCCAAGCAAUUAAAGAAAAAUUCCUCAAGGACCAAAAAUAUUGGACCAAUAGGGGGAACACCUCACUUGUCCCCCUUAUUGGUCCCAUAUUUUGGGUUCCUGUAGCAAAGCUCGCAAUUAAAAUAGGUAUGAAUGUCCAGUUAAGUAGUAUAUACAUUGACCAACGAGGCAAUUAAUACCUCUGUGUUGAUAUUCAUCUGACUGUUGUUAAUGCUUUUCAUGUUGAUACUGAUCCGGUUUCAACAUUGGAUUUGAACCCAUUUAUUUAAGCCCUAUUUCGAGUCUAUUUAUGAUGGGCUGUUUGCAGCGAACUCAUGUAGGAUUUAAGCAUCCUGGGCUUUAGAGUCGAUUUCUGCAGGCAUGAUAAUAAUUUGUCUCCUAGAGCAAUAGUUGCUUGUUAAACUGGAAACUUUAGAACAUGCAUAAUAUGCAUAUUGACCAUUAACCGACAUCACGUUUAUUAUUAACUAUUAUUUAUUGUAUUUGGCCCUAAACACCGUUUAAAUUGGUGGCCAUCUUGAGAAACCAAAUUUCUGCGCGGGAAAUGCCGUUUCACCCGUCAAUUUUUUUUUAUCCAUUGCCCAAUUAGAGGAUGAUAUUCUAUUUCUGUCCUCUAGCCUUAAUUUUCUCUUAUGGUGUGUUUGGGAGUUUACUUUUAGGGAAGGGAAGAAAGGGGAAGGAAGGAGAAAAAUUCCCCUUCCUUCCCUUCCCCUCCAUUACACCUCAAUUUGGGGUGUAAGAAUUUGGGUCAAAUUUCCCCUUCAUUCCCCUCCUCUAACCUCCUAAAUAAAACUCUCAAACAAGGUUAAAAGGAAAUUUCCAUUCUCUUCCCCUCUCUACCCUCCAUCCAAACAGGCCAUUAGUAUCGACCAUCUCCUGAUCAAGAUCGAUGUUAUCAACAAUAUUUUUGUCGAAAUAGCUAAUUUUACAGAUGCAUUUUGGUUCUCCUCUAGAAUCAUUCUUGAAUUAUUAUGAUUCAAAUUCCUUUUGAGCGUCAGAAAGGUCAUUGGAAGUUUCUCACUGUAGAUUCCGUCAACCGAAAUUAUACAGUUGAAGUUUCUUUUUAUGAAUAUGACGUGUGAAGAGGGGCCCACCCACGUGCUGGCUCCUUCCGCGUGAAUAGGGAAGUCAAUUUUUGCCUAUACCCAUUUACCCACCUAGCCCGCCCAUUACUUGACCCUCCCAAAACCCACCCAUUUAGUUAAAUGGGUCUAAUCGGGCGGGUUUAUUUUAAAUUAUACUAAAUGGGCACUAAAUGGGCGGUGUUUAUUAACCCGUUUACCCGCCCGCUCCUAUUACCAAAACAAAAACCCUAAAUCCCGACCCUAAUUCCUCUCUGAGCUCUUCUUUUCUCUCGAACCCCGACAUCAAUUCCUCCUCCUCCGCCUCAAUCCCGACCCCAAUUCCUCCUCCUCCGCCUCCUCCACCGCCGCCUCAACCGCCUCUCGAAGCUAGAGCCUCCUCCGCCUCCUCCUCCGCCGUCUCCUCCGCCGCCUCAACCGCCUCUCGAAGCUAGAGCCUCCUCCGCCGCCUCAACCGCGAAGCCAGAGCCUCCUCUGUCGCCUCAACCGGGAAACCCUAGUCUUUCUUCGAUAUUCGCGAUGGCGCACGCGUUAGCAGCUCAGACUUCGAUCAGUGUUCCGAUUGGAGGCGACUCGUUCGUUGUAAUGGUGGGAAUGAGGAUUUUUGCAGACUUCGAUCAGUGUUCCGAUUGGAGGCGACUCGUCUCCUGGGAGGUCACGAGUGAAGGGUGCAUGAGGUGUUACAAUCAAGAAAACUAAUCUUGCUUUGAUCUUCGGCAUUUAUGAUGAGCCAAUGACUCUUGGGCAGUGCAAUAUGAUUGUUGAGAGGCUUGGUGAUUAUCUCAAUGAAUAGGGAUUUUAGGUUUGUUGUGUUUCCUUUUUCUAUUUGGGUUUGGUGUGGUCCCUCGCAUUGCAAUGCUUGAAAUGAAUAAUUGUCAGUUCAACAAUUAUGUGGACUCUCGUGAGGGGUUUGAUGUUUGGUUAAUGUGUUUGUUAUGAUCCCUAUCCCAUCAAAAUUCUGUCUGUAUUUUUCCUUUGAUUGGGGUUAUUGUGGCAUUUUAAGGCGAGUUGUGAUACUUAUUCAUAAGACAGGUUUGCAUGUUCGAAAAAGUUGUGCUCUAUUUGAAUUCUA